UAUGCUUUACAUGUUAUGAUAUACAAUAGUAGUUGUGAAUAGUCUUUAUACCUUUAGUCCCGCAUUAUUUUUACAAUAUUCUAUUGUUUAUAAAACAUUGUCAUGAUAUUUUGAUGCCCUAAAUUUUUAUAUAUUUCCUUGUUUUUCCCAAGGUGGGCUGGAUUUGAGUAACUUUUAUGUUGUUUCCAAUCACAACUUCCUUGUUCAAAGAAUUUUAGGAAAAAAAACCCAACUGCAUAUAGAUUAAAUCAAAAAUAUUAAAAUGCUAGUCUGAUUAUUGAUACCUCCAAAGUUUUGGUAGUUCCUAAAUUAUAUCUUUAAUACUUGCUCUUUCCAAAUAUUGAAAUAGAUCAUCGUAUUAAAGCAACCAUGAAUUAUAUGCUGAUUUUAGUAAGAAGGUUAUAAAAAAGCAAUGUAUUGAUUAAAAAAAAUGUUGUAAAUUAUUUUACUUACAAAUUUAUAUACACUUGCAUUGGAUAUUUGCCAUUCCUUUAUGUUUAGCUUAAAAAGGUAACAUCAAAUUGCCUCUAUUAAAAGGAAGAAACUUUGUCUCUGCUAUUGGAUCAAGUGUAUAAAAAUAUACAAUGUUUACAAUAUAUGGUUGUCAAUUUAGUGAUACACAAGAUAAAUCAUGUAAAUAUUUUUGACAGAUGUUCUCAAAGGUAUGCCUACUUAAAAACUUUAGAUAAAUUUUAUGUUUGUUUUUGAAAUGUGAUACUUAUUUUACUUGUUAUAUGCUGGUACGUUUACAAGAUAUAGAUUAUUUUACAUAUUUAUACGCAACAUUCAAUUUUUUUCAAUAUACAUACUUUGAAUCAUUUUUUGUGUACUUAAUGUAUUGAUGCUUUUUUGGAGGGGCUAAAAUUGGUGUUAUUAAAAUAUCUUGGUAUACUAGUACCUAAAAAUUAUUUUUUGAAAUAUAAUUACAUUAAUUAAUCCUUGUAAAAUAAAUAAAGUGGAAAGAAAGAAGAAAAAUACAAUUCAACAUAUGCGUUUAAAUACCUUUUCAUUUUGAUAAUGUAUUUUUUGAAAUUUUUUAGAAUCAUGUUCAAAAAGAGAUUGUUGGUUUGCAAAAAAAAAAAAAAAAAAAAUGUCGCUAAACCUGGAUUGCGAUGGAAUUAUUCAUUAUAUACAUGAAACUAUACUAUUUUUUCCUGUAAUUUUAAAAAUGUGAGAAAACAAACGAAAUUUAGGCUUAAAAUUAUUCUUUAUAAAAAAAAUUGGGGAAAAAUAUCAUUUUGAUGCCUACAGAUUUUGUCUCUUAUUUUUGUAAACAGUUGAAGAGUUCAAUGAAAAGACAUUGAUUUUGUUUAAAAAUUGUUUAAUCUUUGUGAUGCUCUGUGUAAUAAAUGUUAUCUAUGU
rnacentral:misc_RNA from 1 species